GUGCUUGCUUCGGCAGCACAUAUACUAAAAUUGGAACGAUACAGAGAAGAUUAGCAUGGCCCCUGCGCAAGGAUGUCACCCAAAUGAGGCCAAUGCAAUCUUC
ensembl:snRNA U6 U6 spliceosomal RNA